UACGUAGGUGGCAAGCGUUGUCCGGAUUUACUGGGCGUAAAGAGCGCGCAGGCGGCUGGUCAAGUCCGAUGUGAAAGCUCCCGGCUUAACUGGGAAAUUGCAUCGGAAACUGAUCGGCUGGAAGGUGGGAGAGGGUAGCGGAAUUCCCGGUGUAGUGGUGAAAUGCGUAGAUAUCGGGAGGAACACCAGUGGCGAAAGCGGCUACCUGGCCCAUUCUUGACGCUGAGGCGCGAAAGCUAGGGGAGCAAACAGG
rnacentral:rRNA from 1 species